GAUGAAGAACGUAGCGAAAUGCGAUAAGUAAUGUGAAUUGCAGAAUUCAGUGAAUCAUCGAAUCUUUGAACGCACAUUGCGCCCCUUGGUAUUCCGAGGGGCAUGCCUGUUCGAGCGUCAUUAUAACCCCUCAAGCUCAGCUUGGUGUUGGGGCCUGCCGCACGGGCAGCCCUUAAAAUCAGUGGCGGUGCCAUCUGGCUCUAAGCGUAGUAAUUCUUCUCGCUAUAGAGUCACGGUGGAUGCUUGCCAUUAACCCCCAAUUUUCAAUGGUUGACCUCGGAUCAGGUAGGGAUACCCGCUGAACUUAGGCAUAUCAAUAAGCGGAGUA
rnacentral:misc_RNA from 1 species